UAUCAUGACAAGAAUUUUGUUUUUCAAAGGCUUUCGUCAAAAAGUCUUCARAAUACGAAGAACAACGCAUGUGUYCAUCCAAACGGUGGCUGGCCUGGUGAAAACAGAUAUCUCGUGUAUUGGUCUGGAUGUGAUGACGAUAGACUUAUACUAGACUUCUUCAAAUUGCCUAAACCGUAAGUCUAAAGAACGCGAUAUUCAGAUAUAAAGAGGGAACGACUUAUGUUUUAGGAAAUGUAAACCGCUAGGUAUAAUAUCGGGGAUGUAGUGUUUAUCAAUAGUCAAUAAAUGAUGAAGAUUACUUCAAAUUCUUCAAAUU